rnacentral:rRNA from 1 species
GGACUACUGGGGUUUCUAAUCCUGUUUGCUCCCCACGCUUUCGCACCUCAGCGUCAGUAUCGGGCCAGUGAGCCGCCUUCGCCACUGGUGUUCUUGCGAAUAUCUACGAAUUUCACCUCUACACUCGCAGUUCCACUCACCUCUCCCGAACUCGAGAUCUCCAGUAUCAAAGGCAGUUCUGGAGUUGAGCUCCAGGAUUUCACCCCUGACUUAAAGAUCCGCCUACGUGCGCUUUACGCCCAGUGAUUCCGAGCAACGCUAGCCCCCUUCGUAUUACCGCGGCGGCUGGCAC